rnacentral:rRNA from 1 species
AACGAACGCUGGCGGCAUGCCUAACACAUGCAAGUCGAACGAGACCUUCGGGUCUAGUGGCGCACGGGUGCGUAACGCGUGGGAACCUGCCCUUAGGUUCGGAAUAACUCCCCGACAGGGGUGCUAAUACCGGAUAAUGUCUUCGGACCAAAGAUUUAUCGCCUUUGGAUGGGCCCGCGUUGGUUUAGCUAGUUGGUAGGGUAAAAGCCUACCAAGGCGACGAUCCAUAGCUGGGCUGAGAGGAUGAUCAGCCACACUGGGACUGAGACACGGCCCAGACUCCUACGGGAGGCAGCAGUGGGGAAUAUUGGACAACGGGCGAAAUCCUGAUCCAGCACUGCCGCGUGAGUGAUGAAGUCCUUAGGGUUGUAAAGCUCUUUUACCCGGGAUGAUAAUGACAGUACCGGGAGAAUAAGCGCCGGCUAACUCCGUG